CACCAUGGUAUUACAGAUUAUUUUCUUUAUUUCUUUCUGUCAGAUUGCACUUUUAUGCCUCCAUUUGUUGGAUUUUAAAUACUUUUGUUGUAUAACUUAAAUACUGCAAUAACUGAAAAAUAGUUUUUAGUUUAGAAACAAAUGUAAAAUUAUUUGAAGGUAGAUAUUGUUUUCCCUGAAACUUUAAAGCAAACAUUAAAAAUAUUAUUGAACUAAAUAUGGCUCAACACAUUGAUUUCAUUAAAAAUACACUAAUUAUAACAAUCAGUACAAGUGUAAUAUUUAGAAUUUUUAUUUCCCUAAUGAAAUAAGUUUCAAUUAUUCAGAAAUAAUUGUUUAACAAUUAAUAUAAUAAAAAAGUAUGCUGUUGUCAAGAAGAAGAAAAUGUCCUCGCGCACCUGCUGUCUGCUCGCGCGCGCGCAAGUGCGAUUUCAAAUACAAAGCAUCAUUAACGGUUCCUCUCCUCAAAGAAACAACCACAGCGCAGGACUGUCUAACAAAAGGUGAGUAAAUUCUCCAAAAUAAAUAUACAGAUUUACUAUUUGUACACAAAUUUCUGUACUGACACGCUUAACUGUAUGUUUUUAUAUUUAAAUGUUUGUUGUUUACCAUUUUAACCGCUAAUUUAAUAGCCGCGAUGCUAGCUAUCAUAAUGAACUUCGUGGGACGAAAUGGAGAGUAUUAAAUCACAAACGGCGAUUUUUAGUCAGCUUUGUUCAUUAUAUUCACUUUUAGUCAUUGUAACUCUGUUCUUUUCUGAACUAAUUUGUUGUCGUUUACGUUUGUUAAUCGUUACCCAUCCAUGUUACAUGUAGACUAUCUAAUAGCUUAUUUUUCGAUUCAUUUAACUUACAGAAAAAAACUGUUUUUGUCCUUUUCUCUCCUCAGAACCUAUACAUUUAACAGGGUUCACUGAGCAGCACUAAUCAGUUAAUGAAGACGUUGUAUGUUUCAUGAAUAUGGCUCUGUAGUGGACUGCUGGAGCUGCUGAUGUCUGUUGCUGGCUGACAAUAAAGUGAUCUCUUUGGACUUACCUCAUCUUUUGAAGAAAUCCGAGCCUUGCUCCUGAUCCUGCUGUGCUGGAUGGUAUAUUAUUAAUUGAGAAUCUUACACUAACUGUGGUAAUGGAGACCCAUUUGGUGAGAGCAGCACUGCAGAUUUUCCUGAUGGUGAGGAGCUACUUGCUGACGAACCCACCAACAUGAUUUCACCUUAUAAGUGCCUUUGUUCUAUUCAACAUUAUACAGAAAAGCUGUUAAACGUACAGCAAAGUGUACUAUUUUUCUGCUGCAUUUGUUGGGUAUUCAAGAGGAGAUCAUCAAGCUACCUACAGCUGUCUUGAGGCUUAUCAAUUUCUUAAAAUUUCCUGUGUGAAUUUUCCCAAUCUGUGACCUCCAUUUAGAACAAGAAAGAAUGUUAUCAUUGACUGCGAUGUACAUUAAAUUUGCUCAUUUGAAUUGUACUAUUUUUGAGGUAUGAUUGUUUUAAAGUUCUAAGAUAUUUGAGUCACAUUUAUUUGUUUAUGGUUUUGUCAAGGUGUAAGUUUUUUAUUUUUUUUAUUUAUAACAAUAUUAACACUGGUGUUCCCAUGAAUUUGAUUGUGAUGUGCAGUAUUGAUUAUUUAUUUGAAACUUCUAUGGAUAUUGUUGUUGUUAAUCAAUAAACAAUGUUUGAUAUGUAUUCAUUUUAGUUUUUCUGUUUGUUUAUUAAAAUAAUUAAAUGUCAAUAGCAGGAACAAUAAACUAGAG